CUGUAGUCUGCAACCCGACUACACGAAGCUGGAAUCGCUAGUAAUCGCGAAUCAGAAUGUCGCGGUGAAUACGUUCCCGGGUCUUGUACACACCGCCCGUCACACCAUGGGAGUCGGGAAUGCCCGAAGUCAGUGACCCAACCUUUGGAGGGAGCUGCCGAAGGCAGGUCUGAUAACUGGGGUGAAGUCGUAACAAGGUAGC
rnacentral:rRNA from 1 species